rnacentral:rRNA from 1 species
GUCUACGGCCAUACCACCCUGAAUGCACCCGAUCUCAUCUGAUCUCAGAAGCUAAGCAGGGUCAGGCCUGGUUAGUACUUGGAUGGGAGAAAACAACCAUCUUAGAAU